rnacentral:rRNA from 1 species
CCUACGGGAGGCAGCAGUGAGGAAUAUUGGUCAAUGGGCGAGAGCCUGAACCAGCCAAGUCGCGUGAGGGAGUACUGCCCUAUGGGUUGUAAACCUUUUUUGUCGGGGAGCAAAAUCCGGACGCGUCUGGCUGUUAGAUUACCCGAACAAACAGCAUCGGCUAACUCCGUCCCAGCAGCCGCGGAAAUACGGAGGCUGCGAGCGUUAUCCGGAUUUAUUGGGUUUAAAGGGUGCGCAGGCGGAUUUUUAAUGCAGCGGUAAAGUCGUGGGGCUCAACCCCGACCUGCCGUUGAAACUGGUGAGCUAGAGUGUGCGAGAGGUAAGCGGAAUGCGUGGUGUAGCGGUGAAAUGCGUAGAUAUCACGCAGAACCCCAGUUGCGAAGGCAACAUACCGGUGCACAACUGACGCUCAGGCGCGAAAGCGUGGGUAGCGAACAGGAUUAGAUACCCGUGUAGUC